AUUAAUUUGAGAGUUUGAUCCUGGCUCAGGACGAACGCUGGCGGCGUGCCUAAUACAUGCAAGUCGAACGAACUCUGGUAUUGAUUGGUGCUUGCAUCAUGAUUUACAUUUGAGUGAGUGGCGAACUGGUGAGUAACACGUGGGAAACCUGCCCAGAAGCGGGGGAUAACACCUGGAAACAGAUGCUAAUACCGCAUAACAACUUGGACCGCAUGGUCCGAGCUUGAAAGAUGGCUUCAGCUAUCACUUUUGGAUGGUCCCGCGGCGUAUUAGCUAGAUGGUGGGGUAACGGCUCACCAUGGCAAUGAUACGUAGCCGACCUGAGAGGGUAAUCGGCCACAUUGGGACUGAGACACGGCCCAAACUCCUACGGGAGGCAGCAGUAGGGAAUCUUCCACAAUGGACGAAAGUCUGAUGGAGCAACGCCGCGUGAGUGAAGAAGGGUUUCGGCUCGUAAAACUCUGUUGUUAAAGAAGAACAUAUCUGAGAGUAACUGUUCAGGUAUUGACGGUAUUUAACCAGAAAGCCACGGCUAACUACGUGCCAGCAGCCGCGGUAAUACGUAGGUGGCAAGCGUUGUCCGGAUUUAUUGGGCGUAAAGCGAGCGCAGGCGGUUUUUAAGUCUGAUGUGAAAGCCUUCGGCUCAACCGAAGAAGUGCAUCGGAAACUGGGAAACUUGAGUGCAGAAGAGGACAGUGGAACUCCAUGUGUAGCGGUGAAAUGCGUAGAUAUAUGGAAGAACACCAGUGGCGAAGGCGGCUGUCUGGUCUGUAACUGACGCUGAGGCUCGAAAGUAUGGGUAGCAAACAGGAUUAGAUACCCUGGUAGUCCAUACCGUAAACGAUGAAUGCUAAGUGUUGGAGGGUUUCCGCCCUUCAGUGCUGCAGCUAACGCAUUAAGCAUUCCGCCUGGGGAGUACGGCCGCAAGGCUGAAACUCAAAGGAAUUGACGGGGGCCCGCACAAGCGGUGGAGCAUGUGGUUUAAUUCGAAGCUACGCGAAGAACCUUACCAGGUCUUGACAUACUAUGCAAAUCUAAGAGAUUAGACGUUCCCUUCGGGGACAUGGAUACAGGUGGUGCAUGGUUGUCGUCAGCUCGUGUCGUGAGAUGUUGGGUUAAGUCCCGCAACGAGCGCAACCCUUAUUAUCAGUUGCCAGCAUUAAGUUGGGCACUCUGGUGAGACUGCCGGUGACAAACCGGAGGAAGGUGGGGAUGACGUCAAAUCAUCAUGCCCCUUAUGACCUGGGCUACACACGUGCUACAAUGGAUGGUACAACGAGUUGCGAACUCGCGAGAGUAAGCUAAUCUCUUAAAGCCAUUCUCAGUUCGGAUUGUAGGCUGCAACUCGCCUACAUGAAGUCGGAAUCGCUAGUAAUCGCGGAUCAGCAUGCCGCGGUGAAUACGUUCCCGGGCCUUGUACACACCGCCCGUCACACCAUGAGAGUUUGUAACACCCAAAGUCGGUGGGGUAACCUUUUAGGAACCAGCCGCCUAAGGUGGGACAGAUGAUUAGGGUGAAGUCGUAACAAGGUAGCCGUAGGAGAACCUGCGGCUGGAUCACCUCCUUUCU
rnacentral:rRNA from 2 species